CGGUAGGCUUAACACAUGCAAGUCGUGCGAGAAAGUAUCUUCGGAUAUGAGUAGAGCGGCGGACGGGUGAGUAACGCGUAGGAAUCUACCUAGUAGAAGGGGAUAGCCCGGGGAAACUCGGAUUAAUACCGUAUACCUCCUUUGGGAGAAAGAGGGCCUCUCUUGAUGCUCUCGCUAUUAGAUGAGCCUGCGUAAGAUUAGCUAGUUGGUAAGGUAAUGGCUUACCAAGGCUACGAUCUUUAGCUGGUCUGAGAGGACGAUCAGCCACAUUGGGACUGAGACACGGCCCAGACUCCUACGGGAGGCAGCAGUGGGGAAUAUUGGACAAUGGGCGCAAGCCUGAUCCAGCCAUACCGCGUGUGUGAAGAAGGCCUUCGGGUUGUAAAGCACUUUAAGCAGGGAGAAAAAGCUAUAAGUUAAUACCUUAUAGCCGUGAUGUUACCUGCA
rnacentral:rRNA from 1 species